rnacentral:misc_RNA from 1 species
UAUCCAAUUGAACCAGCUGGACCAGGCCGGAUAACAUCACAUCUGAGUGCAAACAAAAACCCAUAAAAACUCAAUUUUUUACCUAGAAAAAAAAAAAGAAAAGCAAAUAAUGAACAUAGCAACAAUCAAGCACACAACUUUAAAUCAUCCAACAGCCAAAAACACUAAAUUAUUAGAACCACUAAAAUAUAUAUUUGUUUAAGAAAGAUAAAUGAUUCCCAAAUUC